rnacentral:tRNA from 1 species
GGCGUCGUAGCCAAGUGGUAAGGCAAGGGUCUGCAAAACCCUUAUACGUGGGUUCGAUUCCCGCCGACGCCU